AUAAAUAAAAAACAAAAAAAUUCUUAAAAUAAUAAUUUUAUUCUGUCUCUAGACUCUUCUACUCUGGCACUAUAUUUUAGACACCUCUCCCAUCCCACUCCUCAACUUUCACAAUUUCAAUCCUUCUCGAUCCUUCUUUUCAUUCUUCUCUCUUCUCCAGGGACUUUAAUUUACCCUCUCGCUUCGUUCUUCCAGAUCGGUUGAUCAAUCCAUAAUCGAACGCGGAAAUCAAAGAGAAAAGGAUCGCGAAAGGGCUCAAGCUAGAGCAAAUAGCAAAUCUAAGCGAGAAAAGAGUGAUGGAUUGACACCAGAACAAAGACGAGAAAGGGACGCGAAAGCGUUACAAGAGAAGGCGGCGAGGAAAGCUGGACAGCGGGC